UACGUAGGGUCCGAGCGUUGUCCGGAAUUAUUGGGCGUAAAGAGCUCGUAGGCGGUCUGUUGCGUCUGCUGUGAAAACCCGGGGCUUAACCCCUGGCUUGCAGUGGAUACGGACAGACUAGAGGUAGGUAGGGGAGAAUGGAAUUCCCGGUGUAGCGGUGAAAUGCGCAGAUAUCGGGAGGAACACCGGUGGCGAAGGCGGUUCUCUGGGCCUUACCUGACGCUGAGGAGCGAAAGCGUGGGGAGCGAACAGG
rnacentral:rRNA from 1 species